rnacentral:misc_RNA from 1 species
GGGGUAUUUUAAAAGCAGUUAUUAAGUUUUUUUCUUUAAAGCUUUUGAACUUAAUAACACUUUAAGUUAACCUUGUAAACAUUAUUAAGUUUACCUUUCAAAGAUCAAAGAACAAUUAUUAAAACCUUUUUGAUCAGAUAACUAAUAAACUAACUAACUAAAUCAUUGAUGCAUAAUUAACUGCAUCAAUGAUUUUUUUUAUUAUUUUUACUGCAAAAAAUGCAGAUUUAUCUGUUCAAACCAAUGAUUUAAAAAGGCUUUUUUUAUUAUUAAUCAUUCGUUAUUUUUUUACUUGAGAUUUUAGCUUUAAUGCUUAUAAAAAAAUCCAAUGAUAAAAGUUUUUUUAGAAAAGUGUUGUGCAAACUGAUUUGUUGUGCUAUAAUCUUUAAGGCUUAUAUAGCUACAUUGUUCUUUGAAAACUGAAUACGACAAAUCUUUCUAGUCCGAAAUUUGAUUAAAGUAUCAAAUCAAAUUUCAUAUAAUAUAGAUUCAAUAAAAAUAGCUAAUGGAUCAAAUACAUAAGUUACUAAGGGCUUAU